UGAGGAUGCUCUAAGGUGCUGACA
rnacentral:siRNA from 1 species